rnacentral:rRNA from 1 species
UUGACGGGACCGCACAAGCAGCGGAGCGUGUGGUUUAAUUCGAUGCUACACGAAGAACCUUACCAAGGUUUGACAUGUAAGUGGUAGUGAUCUGAAAAGUGAACGACCCUUCGGGGAGCUUACACAGGUGCUGCAUGGCUGUCGUCAGCUCGUGUCGUGAGAUGUUCGGUUAAGUCCGCUAACGAGCGCAACCCUCACUGUGUGUUACAUGUGUCACACGGGACUGCCGGUUUUAAGCCGGAGGAAGGCGAGGAUGACGUCAAGUCAGCAUGGCCUUUAUAUCUUGGGCUACACACACGCUACAAUGGUCUGUACAAUAGGUUGCCAAGCCGCGAGGCGGAGCCAAUCCUUAAAGCAGGCCUCAGUUCAGAUUGCAGGCUGCAACCCGCCUGCAUGAAGAUGGAGUUGCUAGUAACCGCAGGUCAGCUAUACUGCGGUGAAUACGUUCCCGGGUCUU